GACGAACGCUGGCGGCGUGCUUAACACAUGCAAGUCGAACGGAAAGGCCCUGCUUUUGUGGGGUGCUCGAGUGGCGAACGGGUGAGUAACACGUGAGUAACCUGCCCUUGACUUUGGGAUAACUUCAGGAAACUGGGGCUAAUACCGGAUAGGAGCUCCUGUUGCAUGGUGGGGGUUGGAAAGUUUCGGCGGUUGGGGAUGGACUCGCGGCUUAUCAGCUUGUUGGUGGGGUAGUGGCUAACCAUGGCUUUGACGGGUAGCCGGCCUGAGAGGGUGACCGGCCACAUUGUGACUGAGAUACGGCCCAGACUCCUACGGGAGGCAUCAGUGGGGAAUAUUGCACAAUGGGCGGAAGCCUGAUGCAGCAACGCCGCGUGCGGGAUGACGGCCUUCGGGUUGUAAACCGCUUUCGCCUGUGACGAAGCGUGAGUGACGGUAAUGGGUAAAGAAGCACCGGCUAACUACGUG
rnacentral:rRNA from 1 species